GACGAACGCUGGCGGCGCGCUUAACACAUGCAAGUCGAGCGAAGCGGCGGACGGGUGAGUAACACGUGCGUAACCUGCCUUAGACAUUGGGAUAGCCUCGGGAAACCGGGAUUAAUACCAACUUGUCUAAGAUGGACUCGCGUCCCAUUAGCUAGUUGGUGAGGUAACGGCCCACCAAGGCGACGAUGGGUAGCCGGCCUGAGAGGGUGAACUGCGACAGUGAAACUGACAAGCGUCCCAAGCUCUACGGGGGGCAGCAGUGGGGAAUAUUGCACAAUGGGCGAACGACUGAUGCAGCGACGCCGCGGGGGGGAUGAAGGCUUUCGGGUUGUAAACCUCGUCGCUAUAGAACACUAUAGCGUGGGUUGAGGGUAGGUAGCGAAGAAGCGCCGGCUAACUACGUGCCAGCAGCCGCGGUAAUUC
rnacentral:rRNA from 1 species